CAUAUACUCCCUCCGUUUUAAAUUACUUGUCUUAGAUUUGUCUAGAUACGGAGGUAUCUAGCACUAAAAUGAGUCUAGAUACAUCCGUAUCUAAACAAAUCCAAGACAAGUAAUUCGGAACGGAGGGAGUACCUC
rfam:Triticum aestivum genome assembly, contig: Triticum_aestivum_CS42_TGACv1_scaffold_094238_2AL